GAAUAUUGGACAAUGGGCGAAAGCCUGAUCCAGCAAUGCCGCGUGAGUGAUGAAGGCCUUAGGGUUGUAAAGCUCUUUUACCCGGGAUGAUAAUGACAGUACCGGGAGAAUAAGCCCCGGCUAACUCCGUGCCAGCAGCCGCGGUAAUACGGAGGGGGCUAGCGUUGUUCGGAAUUACUGGGCGUAAAGCGCGCGUAGGCGGCUUUGUAAGUUAGAGGUGAAAGCCCGGAGCUCAACUCCGGAACUGCCUUUAAGACUGCAUCGCUAGAAUCAUGGAGAGGUGAGUGGAAUUCCGAGUGUAGAGGUGAAAUUCGUAGAUAUUCGGAAGAACACCAGUGGCGAAGGCGACUCACUGGACAUGUAUUGACGCUGAGGUGCGAAAGCGUGGGGAGCAAACAG
rnacentral:rRNA from 1 species